AAGCCCUUGCUAUGGUGUGGUGUGUGGAAACGCCCCAAAUGUUAUUCGUAACAUAGGACACCUAAAGCAAGGGCUUUU
rnacentral:sRNA from 12 species